AACGAACGCUGGCGGCAGGCUUAACACAUGCAAGUCGAACGCACCGCAAGGUGAGUGGCAGACGGGUGAGUAACGCGUGGGAAUCUACCCAGAACUCCGGAACAACUGAGGGAAACUUCAGCUAAAUACCGGAUACGCCCUACGGGGAAGAUUUAUCGGUUCUGGAUGAGCCCGCGUUGGAUUAGCUAGUUGGUGAGGUAAUGGCUCACCAAGGCGACGAUCCAUAGCUGGUCNGAGAGGAUGAUCAGCCACAUUGGGACUGAGACACGGCCCAAACUCCUACGGGAGGCAGCAGUGGGGAAUAUUGGACAAUGGGCGCAAGCCUGAUCCAGCCAUGCCGCGUGAGUGAUGAAGGCCCUA
rnacentral:rRNA from 1 species